GGGAUCAUUCUGGCAGCACAUAUACUAAAACUGGAACAAUACAGAGAAGAUUUGCAAGGUCUCUGCACAAGGAUGACAGGAAAUUCGAGGAGCCGGAGCCGGAGCCGGCCAUAUUUUC
ensembl:snRNA Gm24735 predicted gene, 24735